rnacentral:rRNA from 1 species
AACGAACGCUGGCGGCAUGCCUAACACAUGCAAGUCGAACGAGACCUUCGGGCCUUGUUGCGCUCGUGUGCGUACCGCGUGGGAACCUGCCCUUAGGUUCGGAAUAACUCCCCGAAAGGGGUGCUAAUACCGGAUAAUGUCUUCGGACCAAAGAUCUAUGGCCUUUGGAUGGGCCCGGGUUGGAUUAGCUGGUUGGUAGGGUAAAAGCCUGCUAUGGCGUCGUUCCAGAGCUGGUGUGAGAGGAGGGUCAGCCACACUGGGGCUGCGACACGGCCCAGAGUCGUACGGGAGGCAGCGGAGGGGUGUAUAGGAGGAGGGGCGAAAGUCUGAUAAAGCACUGCCGCGUGAGUGAUGAAGGGCUUAGGGUUGUAAAGCUCUUUUACCCGGGAUGAUAGUGACAGUACCGGGAGAAUAAGCACCGGCUAACUACGUG